rnacentral:misc_RNA from 1 species
AACGGUCUAUACCUGCGGUACCUGCGGAGGGAUCAUUAAUGAGAAGCUGCCCCUCGUGGGUAGACCUCCCACCCUCUGUGAACUUACCUUUGUUGCUUUGGCAGGCCCGUCCUCUGGACCGCCGGCUUCGGCUGGCCCGUGCCUGCCAGAGGAUUCCAAACCCUGUCUGUCAGUGUUGUCUGAGUCUAUAUGAAAUCGUUAAAACUUUUAACAAUGGAUCUCUAGAUCGGAAGAGCACAC